rnacentral:rRNA from 1 species
AGUUUGAUCCUGGCUCAGGACGAACGCUGGCGGCGUGCUUAACACACGCAAGUCGAACGGAAAGGCCCUUCGGGGUGCUCGAGUGGCGAACGGGUGAGUAACACGUGGGUGAUCUGCCCUGCACUUUGGGAUAAGCCUGGGAAACUGGGUCUAAUACCGGAUAGGACCAUGGCCUUCAUGGGUUGUGGUGGAAAGCUUUUGCGGUGUGGGAUGGGCCCGCGGCCUAUCAGCUUGUUGGUGGGGUAAUGGCCUACCAAGGCGACGACGGGUAGCCGGCCUGAGAGGGUGACCGGCCACACUGGGACUGAGAUACGGCCCAGACUCCUACGGGAGGCAGCAGUGGGGAAUAUUGCACAAUGGGCGCAAGCCUGAUGCAGCGACGCCGCGUGGGGGAUGACGGCCUUCGGGUUGUAAACCUCUUUCAGCACAGACGAAGCGUGAGUGACGGUAUGUGCAGAAGAAGCACCGGCCAACUACGUGCCAGCAGCCGCGGUAAUACG